rnacentral:misc_RNA from 1 species
UCCGAGUUGUCCCCGGCAGUCCUCUUAGAGUCCCCGGCAUGAUCCGCUGGCAACAUAGGAUAAGGGUUGCGCUCGUUGCGGGACUUAACCCAACAUCUCACGACACGAGCUGACGACAGCCAUGCACCACCUGUGCACAGGCCCCGAAGGGCUGCCGUGUUUCCACGACAUUCCUGUGCAUGUCAAGCCUUGGUAAGGUUCUUCGCGUCGCGUCGAAUUAAUCCACAUGCUCCGCUGCUUGUGCGGGUCCCCGUCAAUUCCUUUGAGUUUUAGCCUUGCGGCCGUACUCCCCAGGCGGAGUGCUUAAUGCGUUAGCUGCGGCACAGAGAGGGUUGAAGACCUCCCCACACCUAGCACUCAACGUUUACGGCUGGGACUAC